CAGUAGCCGCGGGAAUACGAGGGGGGCAAGCGUUGUUCGGAAUUAUUGGGCGUAAAGGGUGCGUAGGCGGUUUCGUAAGUCUGAUGUGAAAUCUAUGGGCUCAACCCAUAGUCUGCAUCGGAAACUGCGAGGCUUGAGAAUGGGAGAGGUGAGUGGAAUUUCCGGUGUAGCGGUGAAAUGCGUAGAUAUCGGAAGGAACACCUGUGGCGAAAGCGGCUCACUGGACCAUUUCUGACGCUGAUGCACGAAAGCUAGGGGAGCAAACAGGAUUAGAUACCCGGGUAGUCCCUGUCUCUUAUAC
rnacentral:rRNA from 1 species